GUGGCUGUGGCUCAGUGGUAGAGCACUUGCCUAGCACGUGUGAGGCACUGGGUUCAAUCCUCAGCACCACA
rnacentral:tRNA from 1 species